GCAGUCGAGGGGUAGAGGGAGCUUGCUCCCUUGAGACCGGCGCACGGGUGCGUAACGCGUAUGCAAUCUACCUUGUACAGGGGAAUAGCCCAGGGAAACUUGGAUUAAUGCCCCAUAGUCUAUAAAGACGGCAUUGUUUUUAUAGUAAAGAUUUAUCGGUACAAGAUGAGCAUGCGUACCAUUAGCUAGUUGGUGUGGUAACGGCACACCAAGGCUACGAUGGUUAGGGGCCCUGAGAGGGGGAUCCCCCACACUGGUACUGAGACACGGACCAGACUCCUACGGGAGGCAGCAGUGAGGAAUAUUGGACAAUGGGCGAGAGCCUGAUCCAGCCAUGCCGCGUGCAGGAAGACUGCCCUAUGGGUUGUAAACUGCUUUUAUACGGGAAGAAACACCCCCUCGUGAGGGGGCUUGACGGUACCGUACGAAUAAGGAUCGGCUAACUCCGUGCCAGCAGCCGCGGUAAUACGGAGGAUCCAAGCGUUAUCCGGAAUCAUUGGGUUUAAAGGGUCCGUAGGCGGACGUCUAAGUCAGUGGUGAAAUUCUGCAGCUCAACUGUAGAACUGCCAUUGAUACUGGUCGUCUUGAAUCGUUGUGAAGUGGCUAGAAUAUGUAGUGUAGCGGUGAAAUGCUUAGAUAUUACAUAGAAUACCGAUUGCGAAGGCAGGUCACUAACAACGCAUUGACGCUGAUGGACGAAAGCGU
rnacentral:rRNA from 1 species